rnacentral:pre_miRNA from 1 species
AAUUAAAAAUUUAUCUAUUUGUACGGUUAAAACGAAAAACCGGGCAGUGACACGUGGCGUGCCAUUUGUAUCUCAUGCUGACUUAUAAGGACCAAUUUUUAACAGUAAAAAUGAAUAAAUUUUUUAACA